UAAUUUAAAAAAACAAAACAAAAACAUUAACAUCCCCUUCCCAUUUUCUCUGAUGACCAUGUAUAUUGACACGAGAGCUGGAUAAGUUGUUAAAAGGACUUCGUAUCCUGUUACCCUUUGUCUUCUAGUAGUGGACAAAAUUAGUAUUAUAGCUGUAAUCUGUCAUUUCUUCUGUUAAGAUUAAUCAAAUUUGUUUAACUCUUUUUUGUACACUUUUAACAAUAAAGGUUCUUUAUUGGCAUCGAUGUUCCAUGAAGAGCCUUGAACAUCCAUGGAACAUUUCAAAUGCAGAAAAGGUUCUUUAUAGUCGAAAAAGGUACUUUAGAUUUUUAAAAUCUUCUUAAAUAUGCACUGUAAAACAAUUCAACUGCAAGAUUUUCAAUUUACGAAACCUUUUGAGUCUCAAAUACUAAAAAAUGCUAUUUUCUUGAAACUACAUAAAAAUCAAUCCAACAAAAUUACCCCAAACGUUGUCCCAGCUAGUCAAACACAGUUAUCUGAACAAAGAAUUUCAUAUUGUUGAAACAUUAAGGCUUAGUGAGUUCCCAGCAUGCAUUUGCAGCAUGAAUAAAUUAUGCAGUUACUGUUAUAGGAUUAUUGUUUUGCUGUUUGCUGUCUUCAUUUCAACUUUUUUUUGUUGUUGUUUUGUCGUCAUUGUUAGUUAUUGUUGUACUGUGAUGAAAAGAGCUCAUCUUUUUAGCAUUCGUUGGAUGUCACCGUUCUUGAGGUUAGUGUCUAGUUUUGAGGCAUAGAGUAUGUUCAGCCAGUAAUGUCCAUUUCUUGGAUAACUUAGUCUUGUAAGUUGUUUUACAAGCAAAGACUAUGUUGUCUACAUAUUUAGACUAAGUUAUCCAUUAAGGUUAAUCAUUUGUAAAUAAACAAAGUCGAUAAUGUGGUGACUUUUUACACAUUCUUUUUUUUUCUUCCAGGAAACAGAAAAAACUUUAUUACUUCAGCGACAGUAAAUGUUUGUUUCAGUUGCUGUGACAAAAACAUUUUCUAUUAGCAAAAUAAGACAACCAGCAUUACAUGAGCAAACUAAUUUACACUGGCUAAACGAAGUAUCUUUACUGAGAAGAACUAAAAAACUAUUGUUGAGCGAACUCAAAAGUCUUACUGCAUCAAGUUACCUUAUUUUUAUUUAAUUUUUUUUCUCAACUAUUUAUUUUUUAUAGUGUGGUUUAUUUAAGAACUGGUCACUGAAAGGUUCUUUGAGGAACCAAAAAAAUCCCAAAAACUUGGGGGGUGGGGGGGCUUAUGUCCCUGAUUCUGUAUUGGGGUGAUCAUGGCUGAUAAAGAAAGAAAGAAAGAAAGAAAGAAAAAGAAUCUGCAGCAUCCUUUUUGUUAUAGAUUUUGUUAUUUGUUAUUGAUGUUAUGAGAAUAAAAAUGAGAGACAGCUGAUCCACCGAAGUUCAGCCAAAACUCACCCACUGAGAGAACUGGGUCUCUCUGCUCUACUGUCUCUGCUGUUCCCCCUCAGGAAGAGCAGGUGCAUGACUGACACAAAUAUGUGUUUGUGUGGUGUUCUGUGCAACAACCUGUUUGACGAGUUUAAAGGAAACAACACGUAAAUCUGGGUUGCGUAGUGGAAGAGGGGCUGGCCAUCAGGAACAUAUAUAUAUAUAUAUAUAUAGUCUUAAAACCUUUGUUUACUGAGAUCUGUGACUCAUACUCGUGAAUACUCAGUGAUAUAAUAGGAAUCUUCACAUACAGAGAAAACAGAAGGCUGGAUUUGUUUUCUUCACAAGUCAUAAGCAAGAAACGUGAGGAAACAAACAGAAAAAGAGCGAUAUGGAGAGCAGAGAAGAAGAAUGCCGUUCCUCCAGACCACGGGUGAAUCGGUCUAAUUUACUGCUAAAACAGGAGAGCAUUGAUAAAAGACCAAAUUUUUCUCAUGAUUCUGGUGGUCCAGAACAGUGUCAGCCUGACAUAUCUGAAGAGGGCCGUGAUAAGACACUCAGACAUACUGCGACAGGAGAGGAGCAGCUGGAGGAACUUUGAGAUAGAACAAGAUCUUUGAGGAGAUAACUUUACUUUACACAUUAAUACUUCUCACAGAAUGAUUGGGAAAGACUCCUGCUCUUACACAUUACAGGAUUUCAGAUGCAUGUUUGAUGUGAAGCCCAUGAAUCAGUUGUUUUAAGCACCUCAGAGGAUGAUGCUUCACAGAGAUAAACAACAGCUCUAAACACAUCACUGAAACACAGUGAGACUCUUCAGGAAUCUCUCAGCAAAUGCAUUGCUUAACUCUACUGGACUGUAUGCUGUGAUUUAUUUGAAUAAACGUGAAAAUAUGUAGUUUUA